AACGAACGCUGGCGGCAUGCCUAACACAUGCAAGUCGAACGAGACCUUCGGGUCUAGUGGCGCACGGGUGCGUAACGCGUGGGAACCUGCCCUUAGGUUCGGAAUAACUCCCCGAAAGGGGUGCUAAUACCGGAUAAUGUCUUCGGACCAAAGAUUUAUCGCCUUUGGAUGGGCCCGCGUUGGAUUAGCUAGUUGGUAGGGUAAAAGCCUACCAAGGCGACGAUCCAUAGCUGGUCUGAGAGGAUGAUCAGCCACACUGGGACUGAGACACGGCCCAGACUCCUACGGAAGGCAGCAGUGGGGAAUAUUGGACAAUGGGCGAAAGCCUGAUCCAGCAAUGCCGCGUGAGUGAUGAAGGCCUUAGGAUUGUAAAGCUCUUUUACCCGGGAUGAUAAUGACAGUACCGGGAGAAUAAGCUCCGGCUAACUCCGUG
rnacentral:rRNA from 1 species